CCCCAUUUCGUCGGCUUGUAUUUCUUCUCAGCUUCUUCCGAUGUGUUCGUAUGACAUCGAAAACAACAGUUAGCUGUUUUUGGGCUUACAGUUGAUUUAUGUAGAGACGAAGCGAUGGAUGAAGUAAGAUUGUGUUUUUUUCGUUACAUGCAUGCUGUUUUUCUUGUGUUUUAUUUUGUGUUUUAUUAUUUCGUAAAGUUACAUGCAUGUUGUUUUUCUUGUGUUUUAUUAUUUCGUAAAUGGGUAUGUUAUGAUGUUUCAGGAGUUCAUAAUCAUCUGAGAGCUUAAUUUUAGAGCCUUUUGAGUGGGAAUAUUAUGAUGUUUCAGGAGUUCAUAAUCAUCUGAGAGCUUAAUUUUAGAGCCUUUUGAGUGGGAAUAUUAUGAUGUUUCAGGAGUUCAUAAUCAUCUGAGAGCUUAAUUUUAGAGCCUUUUGAGUGGGAAUAUUGACCUGAAGUGAUUGAAGAAGUUGUAUAUCAAGGUAGGCCUAUGAAAUGCACGGUUUGUUUUACAUGCAGAUUUAAUUUUAGAGCCUUUUGAGUGGGAAUAUUGACCUGAAGUGAUUGAAGAAGUUAUACAUCAAGGUAGGCCUAUGAAAUGUACAUGCAGAUUAAAGUUGUUUUAUUAACUCGCUUGUAGUUCUAUGAGCGAUAAUAAAGGUGGGUUAGUUUUUGAAGAUUUAGACUAGGAAUCUCUUCGUGUUUAUAGUUAAAGAUAUAAUAGACUAGCUGUGU
rnacentral:lncRNA from 1 species